AUUGAACGCUGGCGGCAGGCCUAACACAUGCAAGUCGAACGAGUGGCGGACGGGUGAGUAAUGUCUGGGAAACUGCCUGAUGGAGGGGGAUAACUACUGGAAACGGUAGCUAAUACCGCCUACCAUCGGAUGUGCCCAGAUGGGAUUAGCUAGUAGGUGGGGUAAAGGCUCACCUGGGCGACGAUCCCUAGCGGGUCUGAGAGGAUGACCGGCCAAACGUGAACUGAGACACGGCCCGAACUCCUACGGGAGGAAGCAGUGGGAAAUAUUGGACAAUGGGCGCAAGCCUGCUGCGGCCAUGCGGGGUGUAGGAAGAGGGCCUUGGGGUUGUAAAGUACUUUCAGCGGGGAGGCGUUACCCGCAGAAGAAGCAACGGCUAACUCCGUGCCAGCAGCCGCGGUAAUUC
rnacentral:rRNA from 1 species